GACAGAGGGGGCAAGCGUUGCUCGGAAUCACUGGGCGUAAAGGGCGCGUAGGCGGGAUGGCAAGUCAGUCGUGAAAUCUCUCGGCUCAACCGAGAAACGUCGGCUGAUACUGCCGAUGCUUGAGGGAUGCGAGAGGAGACUGGAAUUCCUGGUGUAGCGGUGAAAUGCGCAGAUAUCAGGAGGAACACCGAUGGCGAAGGCAGGUCUCUGGGCCGAUACUGACGCUGGAGGAGCGAAAGCGUGGGGAGCGAACAGG
rnacentral:rRNA from 1 species